UUUAACCCAUCCAGACUUCCUACAGGCACAGAGCAGCCUAGAAGCAGAACAUGCUGUGCUGACCUCUCCAGGUGGCCAGAGGGCAGUGGGUUUGCAUCACCACAUUUGCCUAACAAUUGACAUUCUACUUGGCACUGUUCGCUUGCUGACUGAGAACCAACAAAGCCAGAUAUCCUAGCACUGCAAGCAGCACACCAGCCUCCUGAAGGAAGCCAGGGCAGUAAGGCUACAAAUAGCUGCCCAUGAAAACACUGGGGUGAAACUGCCAGGGAGAAGAAAACAACUACCCAGAAGCACCCCAAGGACCACUGGGGACGGAAACAGGGAGAGCAAGCUGAGUGGCCAAGACAUUCAUAUGAAGACUGUGACCUAUGGCCCAGCUAAUAAGAGGACCUCUACCCGCCUCAUUGUGAUGUCCAUGACCCUUCUAUUCUAAGAGGAGAGGACCUCUUGAGAGAGAAGAUUCUGGAAUAACUACAGAUAGAAUGGCAACAUUUAACGAGGAUUGUUGAUGCCAAUCAGCAAAAAUCAGGAAGUUGGGAGGAGGAGGAGGGUAAAGGAGAAGGUUGAGUCCAAUCUGGCUCACAGGUAGACAAACUUAGCACACCACUGGAAAGGUAAAACGGAAGCUCCAGAGAAAGAUAUCUGGAGACACGGCCAUUAGAGUCACCUACAGAGAAAUGACAGCUACAACAACAGGACUGAGAAGCUGGCAACUGAUAAAGGCAGAAUUUGAACCAAGGGCCAAGAACACCUUUCUCACUAGACCAGUGCUUCUUAAACUUGAAUGCACAUAGGAAUCACUGGAGAGUCUUAUUGAGAUGCAGAUUAUCAUCCCAUAUGACAUGUCCAAAGGUUCUGUUUUUUGGUGUCAAACAAGUCUUCAGUGAUUGACAAUCCCCUCUGCCUCUCCAAAAUGAAGCUGGCUGUGGUGGAUGUGGUGGAUGUAGACAUCUGUUCAUCAUUCACUUUUAAAGGAGCGGCUGCUGAUCCCCUGGAUCUCUGUAAUGGUUGCAACAGCCUGUAUCUUUCAGAUUUUCAUUCACAAGUGUUUGCAUCUUUGAACAUUUUCAGAACUUUGCAGGCUUUGCCCAACAGAAAGGCUUUUGAGAGCCUGAGCAUCAGAAGAGACCUCUUUUUGGGAGGAUCAGAGACAUUUAACUGGGAGCUCUGCCACAAC
rnacentral:lncRNA from 1 species